rfam:Cicer arietinum chromosome Ca2, whole genome shotgun sequence.
UAAUGAAGGUAGCAUGGUUGUGUUCACGGAUAUUAAUCUCUUUAGGUCCGCAUGUCUGCUUUCUCUGAUCCUUGAUUUGAAUUGAGGGCCUGGUUAAGACCUACAUUU